rnacentral:rRNA from 1 species
GGCAAACGGGUGAGUAACACGUAAGAACCUGCCCUCGGGACUGGGAUAACUCAGCGAAAGCCGGGCUAAUACCGGAUAACAUCAACGGAUCAAAGGAGGCGAAAGCUUCCACCUGAGGAGGGGCUUGCGGCCCAUUAGCUAGUUGGUAGGGUAAUGGCCUACCAAGGCGACGAUGGGUAGCCGGCCUGAGAGGGUGACCGGCCACACUGGAACUGAGACACGGUCCAGACUCCUACGGGAGGCAGCAGUGGGGAAUAUUGGGCAAUGGGCGAAAGCCUGACCCAGCAAUGCCGUGUGAGCGAUGAAAUCCUUCGGGAUGUAAAGCUCUUUUAUGAGGGAAGAAAUGCAUGGAGGUGAAUAACCUCUACUGUUUGACGGUACCUCAUGAAUAAGCCCCGGCUAACUCCGUGCCAGCAGCCGCGGUAAUACGGAGGGGGCGAGCGUUGUUCGGAAUCACUGGGCGUAAAGGGCGCGUAGGCGGCUUUGAAGGUCAGAUGUGAAAUCCCUGGGCUUAACUCAGGAACUGCGUUUGAAACCACAUAGCUUGA